UUCGAAUUGGUGUAGUGGCUAACAUUUGAUGCUUUCAUACUUGUGUGAACCGUCAAGCCCGGGGUUCGAUUCCCCGAUUCGAAG